CUGCCCUGCCCCAGCGCGGGCGUCCCCUGCCCUCCCUCACCCGGCCGAACCCAAACCGCUGCUAACGCUCCCCUCGCCCACGCCGGGGGUGCAGCCCCCGGUCCCAAAACCCUCCAGCCAUGGGCAGCCCGGCUGGCAGCACAUUUUGGGAGGUUUCCUCCUCUUUUGGGGGAUAAUUGGCUCCUACUUCAGAGAUGCUCUCUCGGGGGGUCCCCAGAUGACCACGGGGGUGCUGGGGUCCAGCUGGGGAUGGGGAUGUGCUCAGCCCCGGGUGCUGCACCCCUCGGGUGGCGUUACCAGGGUGGGGGGACGGUGACACCCCGCUCUGCUGCUGCUGCUGCUCCCCGCUCUGCUGCACGGCACCGGCUCCCUCCGCUUCCCGGGCAGGGCGCUCCGCAUCCUGGGAUCAGCAUCCGGCCUCAUCUCAGCUCCCAGGAGCGAUCACCCCUCCCAAAAACCAUUACCUGCCUCCCCCUGUCUGCCCCACGGUCCGCUCUCCUCUCCCGGGCCACCCCGCCGGGAGACGGCGUCACCUUCGGAUGGGUCUUGUGGGUAGGGACGGGGACACGGAGCGAGGUGCUGGAUGCAGCCAGGGCUGGACCCUGGGCUGGGGGCUGCCACGGGACCCUCGUGCAAGGGACGGUCCCCUGGGUGUGGCACAGUGCCCUGGACACCAUCCCAGCCGUGAGCGACCGGCAGCGCCUCCCGGACCCCACCGCGAGCCUCCCGCUGCGUUUUGGCUCCAUCGAGGUCAUUUUUGAGGCCACCCGGCUGCGGGAGCAGCAGGACCGGCAUCCCCCGGAGCCCCCGGGGAUUUCCCGGAGCGGCAGAGCCCCGCGGGCCGGGGGUCGAGUGUCUUUGCUUUAUUUGUUUAAUUAAAACCAAGGCGAGUAGGGCGGCCCAGGGGGCCCAGCCGUCGGGAGCCGGCACCCUCCACAAAGUGAUUCCUCGGGGAAGCCCGGCGGCCGAGCGGGACCACGGGGCAGCCGGGUCUCGGGCUUUCCCGGCGGCAGGACCACCCUGGAGGACUUGGCCACAGCGGGGUCCCUCCUCUGGUCCCCCCGGGGUUGCUUCCUGGGCAAAACCUCUCCCGUGCGGCCCCUUUUUAGCCGCGGAGGGUCCCCGUGCUCCGGACGAGUCCCGUCCCUCGGUGCCGCGGGCAGCCUGGCCGUCUGGGCGCCCGUUUUUCCCCGGUGAAGACGUGACCCCUUCCUCCUCCUCCUCCUUCUCCUCCUCUUCCUCCUCCUCGCGGGCCGGGGCUCCGUCGGCUCGCGCGUAAGGAUGCGCAUUCCGCCCGGGAAUCCGCCACGGUGUCGGCAUCCAGGUACGUCCCCCCCGGCUCUCCGCCGAGCCCCCGCCCGGCGCUGGGGGGUCCGCAGCGGGGGGAGAGGCGCUGCCGGGGGCUGCGGGGCGGUGACCAGCCCGGAGCCGUCGGAUGCCCGCGGGGGAGAACGGUGAGCGCACGGCGAUGCCGGGUGGCGGCGAGCAAGCUGGUUGGAAUAAAGGAUUGCUAAAGACACCGACCCGGUGGGCUUCUUUCCGCUGCCAACUCUCUCCUGCUCUUGUCUCGCCCGCCCAGGCUCCCUCCGUCCCGCCAGCUCCCCCCACCCCGGUGCUGGAGCUGCUCUGAGCCCAGAAGCCCCUUCCCAUCCCCAAACGGGCCUUUCCGCCUCGCUUCCUCCUCCUUCACACCGAGGAGACGUCAGGUUACAGCCUCCGCUUGAGAGGCGGCCGCAGGGGCCGGGGGGGCUGGGGCAGGACCCCCCCUCGCCGCUGGCUCCAGGAGGGAUCCCGGCUCCUCUCCGGCAUCGCUAGAAGAAGCAGCAGCUGCAGCCCCCGAAAUCUCGCCUGCCCGGCCCGAAGUUACGCGUGCAGAAGCGGCCGCGGGGCCCCUCCUG